rnacentral:rRNA from 1 species
CACGUAGGGUGCGAGCGUUGUCCGGAAUUAUUGGGCGUAAAGAGCUCGUAGGCGGUGUGUCGCGUCGGCCGUGAAAACUCGGGGCUUAACCCCGGGCCUGCAGUGGGUACGGGCAGACUAGAGUGCGGUAGGGGAGACUGGAAUUCCUGGUGUAGCGGUGAAAUGCGCAGAUAUCAGGAGGAACACCGGUGGCGAAGGCGGGUCUCUGGGCCGUAACUGACGCUGAGGAGCGAAAGCAUGGGGAGCGAACAGG